CACGCCGUAAACGAUGACAACUAGCUGUUGGGAGACAAGAUCUCUCAGUGGCGCAGCUAACGCUUUAAGUUGUCCGCCUGGGGAGUACGGCCGCAAGGUUAAAACUCAAAUGAAUUGACGGGGACCCGCACAAGCGGUGGAGCAUGUGGUUUAAUUCGAUGCAACGCGAAAAACCUUACCUACUCUUGACAUACUUGGAAGCUCUUGUAAUGAGAGUGUGCUUUUAGAGCCAAGAUACAGGUGCUGCAUGGCUGUCGUCAGCUCGUGUCGUGAGAUGUUGGGUUAAGUCCCAUAACGAGCGCAACCCUUACCCUUAUUUGCCAGCGGUUCGGCCGGGAACUAUAAGGGGACUGCCGGUGACAAACCGGAGGAAGGUGAGGACGACGUCAAGUCAUCAUGGCCCUUACGAGUAGGGCUACACACGUGCUACAAUGGGGAAUACAGACGGACGCUAAAGCGUGAGCUGGUGCCAAUCCUAAAAAAUUUCUCGUAGUCCGGAUUGCAGUCUGCAACUCGACUGCAUGAAGUCGGAAUCGCUAGUAAUCGCGAAUCAGCAUGUCGCGGUGAAUACGUUCUCGGGUCUUGUACACACCGCCCGUCACACCAUGGAAGUGUGUUGCACCAGAAGUAGGUAGUCUAACCUUCGGGAAGGCGCUUACCACGGUGUGAUCCAUGACUGGGGUGAAGUCGUAACAAGGUAACCGUA
rnacentral:rRNA from 1 species